GAUGAAGAACGUAGCGAAAUGCGAUACGUAAUGUGAAUUGCAGAAUUCAGUGAAUCAUCGAAUCUUUGAACGCAUAUUGCGCUCUCUGGUAUUCCGGAGAGCAUGCUUGUUUGAGUAUCAGUAAACACCUCAACUUCCAUAUCUUUUUUGAAAUGGGAGUUGGACUUGAGUGAUCCCAACGCUUUUCCUCACCGAAAAGUGGCGGGUUACUUGAAAUGCAGGUGCAGCUGGACUUUUCUCUGAGCUAUAAGCAUAUCUAUUUAGUCUGCCUAAAAAACAGAUUAUUACCUUUGCUGCAGCUAACAUAAAGGAGAUUAGUUCUUGUGCUGACUGAUGCAGGAUUCACAAAGACGGCCUCGGCCGACUUUGUAAACUCGAUCUCAAAUCAAGUAAGACUACCCGCUGAACUUAAGCAUAUCAAUAAGCGGAGGA
rnacentral:misc_RNA from 1 species